rnacentral:rRNA from 1 species
UACGAACCGUGCGAACGUUGUUCGGAAUCACUGGGCUUAAAGGGCGCGUAGGCGGCUCCGCAAGUCGGGGGUGAAAUCCCACAGCUUAACUGUGGAAGUGCCUCCGAUACUGCGGGGCUCGAGUGAGGUAGGGGUCGAGGGAACUUCUGGUGGAGCGGUGAAAUGCGUUGAUAUCAGAAGGAACGCCGGUGGCGAAAGCGCUCGACUGGACCUCUUCUGACGCUGAGGCGCGAAAGCUAGGGGAGCAAACGGG